rnacentral:rRNA from 1 species
GACAGAGGGUGCGAGCGUUGUUCGGAAUUACUGGGCGUAAAGGGCGCGUAGGCGGUCUGUUAAGUUCGGUGUGAAAGCCCUCGGCUCACCCGAGGAAGUGCGCCGGAUACUGGCAGACUCGAGUACCGGAGAGGAGGGUGGAAUUCCUGGUGUAGCGGUGAAAUGCGUAGAUAUCAGGAGGAACACCGGUGGCGAAGGCGGCCCUCUGGACGAGUACUGACGCUGAGGCGCGAAAGCGUGGGGAUCAAACAGG